rnacentral:lncRNA from 1 species
GGAAAAAGAAAGAUUUCCCUAAAGGGAUGCUAUUUCAAUUUAUUAUUAGUGUUUUAAGUUAGAGAGUUAGAGGGGCUUAGAGAGUUAAAGAACAUAAAAUUAUAGAUCUCGUCAGGAUUUAAAUUGUAUCUCAGAUACAGAGUCAUAUUUAAAUACAUAGAAAUACAGAACCAAGGUCUCAGGAUAUUCAGCCUUUCCCAUUUCCCUCAAAAAUCCCCUCAAAAACACC